rnacentral:rRNA from 1 species
UACGUAGGGUCCGAGCGUUUGUCCGGAAUUAUUGGGCGUAAAGGGCUCGUAGGCGGUUUGUCGCGUCGGGAGUGAAAACACCGGGCUUAACUCGGUGCUUGCUUUCGAUACGGGCAGACUAGAGGUAUUCAGGGGAGAACGGAAUUCCUGGUGUAGCGGUGAAAUGCGUAGAUAUCGGGAGGAACACCAGUGGCGAAGGCGGCGAUCUGGGCAGUUACUGACGCUGAGGUGCGAAAGCGUGGGGAGCAAACAGG